rnacentral:rRNA from 1 species
UACGAAGGGUGCUAGCGUUGUUCGGAAUUACUGGGCGUAAAGGGCGCGUAGGCGGCUUAGCAAGUUGGAUGUGAAAGCCCAGGGCUCAACCCUGGAAUUGCAUUCAAGACUGCUUUGCUUGAAUUCGGUAGAGGUUGGUGGAAUUCCCAGUGUAGAGGUGAAAUUCGUAGAGAUUGGGAAGAACACCCGUGGCGAAGGCGGCCAACUGGACCGACAUUGACGCUGAGGCGCGAAAGCGUGGGGAUCAAACAGG